rnacentral:rRNA from 1 species
UACGUAGGGGGCCAGCGUUGUCCGGAAUCAUUGGGCGUAAAGAGCGUGUAGGCGGCCAGAUAAGUCCGCUGUGAAAUCUCGAGGCUCAACUUCGAGCUGUCGGCGGAAACCAUCUGGCUAGAGUCCGGAAGAGGAGAGUGGAAUUCCUGGUGUAGCGGUGAAAUGCUUAGAUAUGACAUAGAACACCAAUUGCGAAGGCAGCUCACUACACGAAUAUUGACACUGAGGCACGAAAGCGUGGGGAUCAAACAGG